AACGUAGGAGGCAAGCGUUAUCCGAGUUUACUGGGCGUAAAGCGCGUGCAGGCGGUUCGGUAAGUUGGAUGUGAAAUCUCCUGGCCCAACUGGGAGAGGUCGUUCAAUACUGUCGGACUAGAGGAUGGCAGAGGGAGGUGGAAUUUCCGGUGUAGUGGUGAAAUGCGUAGAUAUCGGGAGGAACACCAGUGGCGAAGGCGGCCUCCUGGACCAUUCCUGACGCUCAGACGCGAAAGCUAGGGGAGCGAACGGG
rnacentral:rRNA from 1 species